AGAGUUUGAUCAUGGCUCAGGAUGAACGCUAGCGGGAGGCUUAACACAUGCAAGUCGAGGGGCAGCACGAGGUAGCAAUACUUUGGUGGCGACCGGCGCACGGGUGAGUAACACGUAUGCAACCUACCCUGUACAGGGGGAUAGCCCGGAGAAAUUCGGAUUAAUACCCCAUAAAGAUAUUUUGGGGCAUCUUAAGAUAUUUAAAGUUUCGACGGUACGGGAUGGGCAUGCGUAACAUUAGCUAGUUGGUAGGGUAAUGGCCUACCAAGGCUACGAUGUUUAGGGGUCCUGAGAGGGUGAUCCCCCACACUGGUACUGAGACACGGACCAGACUCCUACGGGAGGCAGCAGUGAGGAAUAUUGGUCAAUGGGCGCAAGCCUGAACCAGCCAUCCCGCGUGCAGGAAGACGGCGCUAUGCGUUGUAAACUGCUUUUCCAGGGGAAGAAAACCCGCUACGAGUAGCGGCUUGCCGGUACCCUGGGAAUAAGCAUCGGCUAACUCCGUGCCAGCAGCCGCGGUAAUACGGAGGAUGCGAGCGUUAUCCGGAUUUAUUGGGUUUAAAGGGUGCGUAGGCGGAUUAAUAAGUCAGUGGUGAAAACCUGCAGCUUAACUGUAGAACUGCCAUUGAUACUGUUAGUCUUGAGUACGGUCAAGGUAGGCGGAAUGUGUAAUGUAGCGGUGAAAUGCUUAGAUAUUACACAGAACACCGAUUGCGAAGGCAGCUUACUGGGCCAUUACUGACGCUGAUGCACGAAAGCGUGGGGAGCGAACAGGAUUAGAUACCCUAGUAGUCC
rnacentral:rRNA from 1 species